rnacentral:rRNA from 1 species
UAUUGGUCAAUGGGCGCAGGCCUGAACCAGCCAAGUAGCGUGAAGGAUGACUGCCCUAUGGGUUGUAAACUUCUUUUAUAUGGGAAUAAAGUUUUCCACGUGUGGAAUUUUGUAUGUACAAUAUGAAUAAGGAUCGGCUAACUCCGUUCCAGCGUCCGCGGUAAUACGCAGGAUCCGAGCGUUAUCCGGAUUUAUUGGGUUUAAAGGGAGCGUAGGUGGACAGUUAAGUCAGUUGUGAAAGUUUGCGGCUCAACCGUAAAAUUGCAGUUGAUACUGGCUGUCUUGGGUACAGUAGAGGUGGGCGGAAUUCGUGGUGUAGCGGUGAAAUGCUUAGAUAUCACGAAGAACUCCGAUUGCGAAGGCAGCUCACUGGACUGCAACUGACACUGAUGCUCGAAAGUGUGGGUAUCAAACAGG